AUGGAUUUUGGGCGGCGAAAGAGCUUUAGCUUCUUCGAGGAGGACCGGAAGGCGCGGCCGGCGGCGGCGCAGACGCCCGUGCACCACUAUGCGCGCGGGGGAGGAGGUGGAGGAGGAGGGGGGCGGUCCCCGGCGCGCGAGGCGGCGGAGCCGGCGCGGAUGAGCAUGUCGUCCGUGCCUGUCGCGGAAUUGCCGGCGAUGAUGGGAGUCGGAGGCGUGGGAGGCGGGUGCUCGCCGUGGGUGCAGUCGCCGCUGCACAGCAGGCUGCGGUUCCCGCCGUCGCCCGCCGCGAUCUACCACUGCCUCGCGGCGCUGCAUCGGCUGGACGGCGACGUGCACGCGCUCGCCGUGGCGAGAGGGGUGCUGUUCACGGCGUCCGACAGCGGCCGCGUCCGCGCGUGGGCGGCGCCCGGGUGCUUCAACCGCGGGUACCUCGACGUGGGCCGCGGCCGCGUGCCGGCCCUCGCGGCGUGCGGCGGGACGCUCGUCACCUCCCACAGCCGUGACCACCACGUCCGGGUGUGGACGGUGUGCGCGGCCGCCGUGUGCGACCACAUCCGCGCCAAGAAGGCGGCCACGCUCCCGGCCAAGGGCGGCCUCCUCUCCUUCGCCAAGAAGCGCCCGCACCACCACCGCGACACCGUGUCGUGCCUCGUGCUCCACGCCAUCGCGGGCCUCCUUUACACCGCGUCGCACGACCAGACCGUCAAGGCGUGGAAGCUAUCUGACGGCAGCUGCGUCGACUCCUUCGUCGCCCACGACGGACCUAUCAAUGCCAUGCUCGUCAACGAGGCUGACGGCUGCAUCUUCACGGGCUCCGCCGACGGCACCGUCAAGAUGUGGCGCCGGGUGUACGGCGGCACCGCGCACGCCCUCAUUAUCGUGCUCCGCUCCGAGCUGUCCCCAGUCAACGCGCUCACGAUCUGCCACGCCGCGAGCGGCACCACCCGACGGUGCUUCCUCUACGCCGGCUCCUCCGACGGCUACGUCAACAUCUGGGAGAAGGAGGCGUCGGCGGGCCGGCCGGUGCACGUCGGGUUCCUCAAGGGACACCGGCUGGCGGUGUUCUGCCUGGCCUCCGGCUGCGGCGGGCGGGUGGUGGUGAGCGGGUCGGAGGACGCGACCAUGCGCGUGUGGAGGCGGGAGGGGAAGGGCGGCGAGUCGCACACGUGCCUGGCCGUGAUCGAGGGGCACCGCGGGCCGGUGCGGUGCCUGGCGGUGGGAGGCGGCGAGGCAGGGGAGGUGGAGGGAAGCAUGGUGGUGUACAGCGCCGGGCUGGACAAGAGCGUGAAGGUGUGGAGGAUAAGGGUGGUGGGGAAAGAAGAGGAGGACGACGAAGAUGACGAGGAUGACGACGGUGAGGAGGAGAUGGAGGACAUCGUGGCCGCGGGGAAGGGCGACGUGGAUGCCGUGAGAGACGAGGUGGAGGCCGAAGAGGAGCAGGUGGUGAGCCUUGGGCCGACGCCGGUGCUGUCGCCGGUGUGGGUGGAGAAGCGGCGGCAUACGAGUCGUGGCUGA
rnacentral:rRNA from 1 species